GUAAUAGAUAAAGCAUAUGGGCGGGCAAUGACACCCUUAUGGAUUGGGGGUGGCGCCGAUGACAGUAUUUCAAGCAUUAACAUUGAUGAUAAGUUUUGCAGUGCUGAUACUGAUGCUGUCAGAUAUAAAGAAAUGAUCCGCUUCAUAUGCCAUUCGCAGUGAUUGAAGUGGAUCAUCCUUGUAAUUUAGCACUUUGAUCGUUGUGCUGUGCCGCUCUGUGCGGAUAUUGGCAUUCCGCCAGUGUGUGUAGCACUGGCG
rnacentral:sRNA from 1 species